AACGAACGCUGGCGGCAUGCCUAACACAUGCAAGUCGAACGAGACCUUCGGGUCUAGUGGCGCACGGGUGCGUAACGCGUGGGAAUCUGCCCUUGGGUUCGGAAUAACAGUUGGAAACGACUGCUAAUACCGGAUGAUGACGUAAGUCCAAAGAUUUAUCGCCCAGGGAUGAGCCCGCGUAGGAUUAGCUAGUUGGUGGGGUAAAGGCCUACCAAGGCGACGAUCCUUAGCUGGUCUGAGAGGAUGAUCAGCCACACUGGGACUGAGACACGGCCCAGACUCCUACGGGAGGCAGCAGUGGGGAAUAUUGGACAAUGGGCGAAAGCCUGAUCCAGCAAUGCCGCGUGAGUGAUGAAGGCCUUAGGGUUGUAAAGCUCUUUUACCCGGGAUGAUAAUGACAGGACCGGGAGAAUAAGCCCCGGCUAACUCCGU
rnacentral:rRNA from 1 species